UACGUAGGGUGCGAGCGUGUCCGGAAUUAUUGGGCGUAAAGAGCUUGUAGGCGGUCUGUCGCGUCUGCUGUGAAAAUCCGGGGCUCAACCCCGGACUGCAGUGGGUACGGGCAGACUAGAGGUGUGGUAGGGGAGACUGGAAUUCCUGGUGUAGCGGUGAAAUGCGCAGAUAUCAGGAGGAACACCGAUGGCGAAGGCAGGUCUCUGG
rnacentral:rRNA from 1 species